GGCUUAUUACAUUGCCCCCUAUUCCGUGCAAUCUGCUGCUUUCUAUUCCCGAAGGAAAGCUCAGUUUUGCUUUCGUUUUGUUUCUCCCAAUUUCUUCUGCCCUGUUUUACCCUCCCAACCCGAAAGCCACCUCCACCCUCUCCCUCCCAACAUCAAACAGAACCGCCCCUUACAUUAUCCUACUUCUGUCCCGUCAAUUUUUCUGCUUGUUUAUUGUUUAAGCUCUAGGAAAAUCGAAGAGGCCUUAUCGUUUUCGAGCAGGAACUAGGGCUCUGACAAGGUUUUUGAUCUCAAAAUUUUGACAAGGUUGCCUGUAAGUGGGGGUGUUUCUUUAACUUCAAACCUUGCAAAUUGAGUCUCUUGUUUUGACUUUCUUGUUUGGUUCUUGAUUAGGUCUCAAGAUUUCCUUGAUCUCCAUCCUUUCUGGGUAUGUUUUGAAUUCCUUUUUGUCUGAAACUUGUAAAAAACAGUGUUUGCUUUUACCAAUUGCAUUGGUUUAUUGAUUUAUUUUCAUGGAAAUUGAAUGGUGUUGUUUGGUUUUAUUGAAAUAUGGAUCCCUUUUUGUUCAUCCUUUCUGUAUGUCUUCGAUUCUUAUAUGGCUCCAACUCUUCAUUUUUCUUGAAAUUUUCGUGUUCGACAUGUUUUUAGACAUGGGUUCGGGGUAUCAAACAUUUAUACCCGAAUCUGAGCAACAUAGAUUGAUGUGCCUGUGAUAAAAUUUUUUGUGUUUUAUGUAGAUUUUCUGAAUAGUCUUUCUAACUUUAGUUGCAACAUAUUCUUGCUUAAUUUUGGAUAUUUCGUGGACUUUUUUGUUCGGUUCUUGAUUGGAGUCAACUUCGUUUGCAGUAAUUCUUGAUUUUAUACACAUAUGUGAUACAGAACAGUUGCUGCAUUCAUAGGCUUCCAUGGGCUUAUGCAAGGCUCUUGUUUGCAUUCAUAGGCUUCUAAGACAAAUUGAUGAACAGCUUGGUAAACUGAUCAUAAUAUGGGAAUUCUUUUCUUUUGUUACUGAAAUGAAAUUUAGUCGUGUAUAUAUUGGUUGUGCCAUAAUUUGUUUUAAGGAAACUUCACAUGUUAGUUGAUUCAUUUAUUUUGAUCCCAAUGAACCUUUCCUUCUUUUUCGUGCCCUUUUUUCCCAGAUCUUCCAUAUUUUCCUUCUUAUUUCUCCUUUUCCCAGUCAUAGAAGGUUUCUAUUGAAGUGUUAGGAAAAUAUUUACCAGAACAACCAAGAAAAAAAAGACUGGUCUUGUUUCACAUCAGUAUAAGAAGUAGAGCAACUUGAGUUUGUACCUGUGUUACUUAUGCUCAAAUGUGUUCCAACACAUGUAUGUUCAAUUUUCUAUAAUUUCCAUGUAUAUGUGUUGGAAAUAGAUGUCGGACACACAUACUUAAAGAAUAAUGAAGAGUUGGAGUAAUGUAGAUUUUCACUUGGUUGAAUUCAGAAGUGUUGUUUGGUUUUGGAGAGAUUUUCAAAUUUUAACAUAAAAUUACUGAUCAAUACUACUGUGAAGAAUUAUGACUUUUAAAGGCUUUCUUUGUGAUCCAUAAACAUCACCACUUCUUUCUAAAAAUUUGCAACGAGUGGUUUGGAGGGUUAUUAGAGGCUGAUUUAACAUAAUAAAUUCUUGAUUUUCAUUUCAUCAUCAUUUUUAUCAGAAUAGCUUGGUAGUUUAGUCUUCAUUUAGCAUUUAGGAAGGCAAUUUCCUUGAUGGGCUCAGGAAAGGAAUGGCGAUUUGGAGGUCUUUUAGCAUUUGAGAAUUCACUUUUAUUGGUUAUUUGAAUUUCAGCCCAUAGAGAUGUUAAAUAAAAAAUGACUUUGUACCUUCUUAGCUAUGUCUUUCACCUUCAAAUUAUAAGUCUGAUGGAGGAAUAUAAUCCAAGAAAGUGGCAUGCUUUAUCUUUGAAGGUCGUAAUUUGAGAAGUUCUUUCUCAUUUCUUGAACCCUAUUUAGCGUACCAUUUUCUUGGGCAUGGCCAAGGUAUCUGUUUGAGGCUCCACUAAGGAAGUGAAAUGUGAAGGGGUAUUGCUGAAGGCAGUAAUGCAUGAUUUGCCUAUUAUGAUCUAAUAUAUGGCAUUACUGAGUGAAACAUGCUAGUGAGUUUAAUAGCCUUUAAGACAUGCUACAAGUUCUCUUGAACAUUUGUCUCUUUCUGUGGUAAGCUUGGGCCUUAUUUCUAGUGGUUUGUCUGUCACUGGUUUUCUCUCCUCCUGCCAGUGGUUAUUGCUUCUUCUUACUAUUUCCGAAAGUAAACCUCUUAUAGAGUUUCCUUUCUUAUGCUUCAUGUGCUGCCAAAUGUGUGAGUGCCUGGAUAGUUUUACAAAACAUUUUAUGAUGCCUGAAGUUGUAAUACUGGACUUGUGCAUCACAAUUAACAACAGAUCUUCAGCUUCAUGUUUUUUUCUAUUUUACCUUCUUUUUUUCAAUUGUAAUACUGGACUUGUGCAUCACAAUCCAUGGAACUUUUCUAUUCUGCAGAUAAAGCCAAUCCCAAGUGAAAAUCUGCCUCCUGGUUUUGAUCCUGUUGAAGGUUGCAAGCUUAAUUCUUUGCCUCUGGAAGGGACCUUUUUUUGAAGCAAUGUAGGAAUGGGAUAGCAAUGUAUGGUGUUGGAUUUAUUUUUUCUUAAUCAAUUUAUAUAUAUAUGAUUUUGAAUUCGGUUUUAUUUAAAAUAUUUAUUUUGAUUUUAUUUUUAAAUUGAUUUCUUCGAUUUUACCUUAGUUUAAUUCAGUUUGAGUUUUUUUUUUUAUUAUUGAAAAGAAUUAAAACCACAUUGAUAAACUAACCAAUUUUCCUAAAAACAAUUUACUUUUACCUCGACUUUAUUAAUGGACAAAGUGUGAAAAACGACAAAACACUAUCAGAAGUC
rnacentral:lncRNA from 1 species